GGCGGCAUGCCUAACACAUGCAAGUCGAACGGCAGCACGGCAGUAGCAAUACUGUGGGUGGCGAGUGGCGGACGGGUGAGGAAUACGUCGGAAUCUGCCCAGUCGUGGGGGAUAACUAGCCGAAAGGUUAGCUAAUACCGCAUACGACCGAGAGGUGAAAGCGGGGGACCGCAAGGCCUCGCGCGAUUGGAUGAGCCGACGUCGGAUUAGCUAGUUGGAGGGGUAAAGGCCCACCAAGGCGACGAUCCGUAGCUGGUCUGAGAGGAUGAUCAGCCACACUGGAACUGAGACACGGUCCAGACUCCUACGGGAGGCAGCAGUCGAGAAUAGUCUACAAUGGUCGGAAGACUGAUAGUGCGACGCCGCGUGAACGAUGAAUCCCUUCGGGGUGUAAAGUUCUUUUAUAUGUGAGCAGUGCUUCUUAUAUUAACAGUAUGGGGAGAGAGAUAUUAGCAUAUGAAUAAGCAACGGCUAACUCCGUG
rnacentral:rRNA from 1 species